AACGAACGCUGGCGGCAGGCCUAACACAUGCAAGUCGAGCGAGGACUUCGGUCCUAGCGGCGGACGGGUGAGUAACGCGUGGGAACGUGCCCUUUGCUUCGGAAUAGCCCUGGGAAACUGGGAGUAAUACCGGAUGAGCCCUUUGGGGGAAAGAUUUAUCGGCGAAGGAUCGGCCCGCGUUGGAUUAGGUAGUUGGUGGGGUAAUGGCCUACCAAGCCGACGAUCGAUAGCUGGUGUGAGAGGAUGAUCAGCCACACUGGGACUGAGACACGGCCCAGACUCCUACGGGAGGCAGGAGUGGGGAAUCUUAGACAAUGGGGGAAACACUGAUCUAGCCAUGCCGCGUGAGCGAUGCAGGCCUUAGGGUUGUAAAGCUCUUUCAGCUGGGAAGAUAAUGACGGUACCAGCAGAAGAAGCCCCGGCUAACUCCGUG
rnacentral:rRNA from 1 species